UACAGAGGUGGCAAGCGUUGUUCGGAAUUACUGGGCGUAAAGGGCGCGUAGGCGGUCUUGUAAGUCUUGUGUGAAAUCCCUCGGCUUAACUGAGGAACUGCACGGGAUACUGCGAGACUUGAGUUCGGGAGAGGGAAGCGGAAUUCCGGGUGUAGCGGUGGAAAUGCGUAGAUAUCCGGAGGAACACCGGUGGCGAAGGCGGCUCCUGGACCGGAUUACUGGACGCUGAGGCGCGAAAGCUAGGGGAGCAAACGGG
rnacentral:rRNA from 1 species